AUUUGUCCCCUAAAUAGGGACUUGUAUGAAUGGCUAACUGAGGUUCUAACUGUCUCAUUAGAUCAAUCAAUGAAACUGAUCUCCCAGUACAAAAGCUGAGAUAAACCCAUAAGACGAGAAGACCCUGUGGAGCUUUAAAUACAUACUAUAAACACCCCGCCAACCUUUUUAGUUGGGGCGACUUUGGAACAAAACAAAACUUCCAUGCCAGGUCCCUAUAAAGGCCUACGCGCCAAAAUAACUCCUUAUUGAUCCAGCUCACUCUAAGCUGACCAACGAACCAAGUUACCCCAGGGAUAACAGCGCUAUCCUCUUCAAGAGUCCCUAUCGACAAGAGGGUUUACGACCUCGAUGUUGGAUCAGGACACCCCGGUGGUGCAACCGCUA
rnacentral:rRNA from 1 species